UUUAGUAGACUGAUACAGGUAGGAAUCCACCCACCCAAAUGGAAUGAUGGAAAGGUAGAGAUGUGGAUGAAGGCAACAGAUAUUUAUAGGUAGCAUGAAUAGAAUGGUGAUAAACUGGAUAUUGGGAAACAAAGAUUGUUGUGGAUGGCAAUAUGGAUCAUGAAAACAGUUUACAGUAAGUGGUGGGCUGAAUCCAGGAUGCAGAGUGUUGGGAAGUUGGAGAGUGAAUGAGGAAAGUAGAGGCGAGACGGAGAGUGUGCAGUAUGUAUUCAAGUAGUCGGUUGCACGUGUUCAGCGCCUUCUAGCAGCCAGGCAUUGGGGUUGCAUUCUCCUUAUAGAAUGGACAGAGGUCUGCCCUCGUGUAGCUUAAAGAUUGUUCAGGAAGUCAGAUAUUAUACAAGUGACUACCCUAAUAAUUAUGUAUUGUGUGUUAUGUCCUUUGAAGGAGAAAUAUAAAUUUUAUGAAAGUAUACAAUAAGGCAAGGAAGUAGAUUGGGUUCUGGUUUGGUGGUUAUUACAGAGAGGGAUUUUAGGAUGGGGAUGAAUUUGAUGAUUGUGAUAAAGGAGGGAUGUUUCUCCCACAGGAUGGGGAGAAACAAAGAUUCAGGAGAGGGAAAUUCAACAGGUGAAGUUUGCGUGGAGAUGGGAGGAGGUGUUUGUGACCAUGAGUCCACCAUGUCCAAUGUCCUUGAGGGAAGGAAGGUCAUCUGAGCAAGCAGAAAGAGCCCUGACAUUUGUCACUGGAGCCCAGCAGAAAGAGCGCCUGUUCUGUCUCUCUGAACAGCAUGCAUGGCACCAUGCCAUGCAGCUUGUCUGGGGACAGCUACGCAGUCCUGCUGGGCUGCUCCUGCCAGGGGGCUGGCUUCCUGUGGAGUUUCCAUGAUGAUAGAGGCAGUGGGAAGCUUGGGCGGUGGGGUAGCUGCAGCUCUCAGGAUUGGGGGGCCACCUGGCAAAGAUUCAGGAUCAGAGAGGGAAAGUCUUAAAGUGACAGUGUUCAUUCAUUCAACACACGUUUAAUGAAAGCUUGUUAGGGGACAAGCAUUACGCUGGGUUCGGGGACUCAAGUGAUCCCUAACAAAGAGAAGGUGCUAGCUCUCUGUAGUGGGUGUACUAUGCCCUUCCCUCGAAAAGGGAUGUCCAAGUCCUAACCUCCGGUACCUAUGAAGGUGAGAUUAGUUAGAAAUAGGGUCUUUGAAGAUGUAAUUAAGUUAAAAAUCUUAGGAUGAGAUCCUCAUGGAUUUAGGGUGGGCUCUAAAUACAAUAACUGGUAUCCUUGCAAGAGAGAGGAGAGGGAGAUUUGAGCCAGACAAACAGACACAGAGAAGACCCUGUGAAGAUGGGGUAGAGAUUGGAGUGAUGCAUCUACAAGCCGAGGAGCACAAAGGAUUGCCCACAGCUGCCAGAAGCUGGAGGGAGGCGUGGAACCAACGGAGGGAGGCAUGGAACCAACUGUGUGACAACUUGAUAUCAGACUCCUGGCCUCCGGAACCAUGAGACAAUAAACUUCUGUUGUUCUAAGCCGCCCGGUUUGUGGUACUUUGUUACAGCUGCCCCAGGAAACUAACACGCCCUUUAAGCUUACACUUUAGUUAAUUGAUGCAACAAAUAGGGAAGUAAAUAAACGGCGAUGUGUACAGAUCUUUGAUAAACUGUGUGUAAGAACUAAUCUGGGGACGUGAUAAAGGAAGAGGUGGAAGGGAGCCCCACUUGGAAUGUCCCUCUAAGGAGGUGAGAUUUGAGCAGACACCUGCAGGGUGAAAGCACUUCUGGGAGAGACACUGUAGGAGGAAGUGAGAGUGGGGACAAAUGCCUUGAGUGGGAGAGGGCAUGAUGUGUUCAAGGAAGAGAAAGGAGAGUGGGGCCAGAGUCCAUGAGGAGGCUGGAGACGGUUGCCAGGCACUUGAAGGCCAGGUUACAGAGUUUUCGUUUUAUCCUUAAGGGCAAAAGGAGUAAUGCUGAAAGGGAGCGAAGGAUAAAGAAAAGCUCUAGGUUAGGUAUGGGGAAAGUCCUGACCACACAGAAUCAGAAUUUGUAACUGGAGCCGGAGUCACAGAGAAAAGGCAGCUGUAUCUUUGCAGACGUGCUAAUGAUACGUACCUCCACCUGCUUCUUCACAUUCAGCCAAUAAUCACAUUUCUAAUUUUACUGAGAAAAUGGAAGCACUGGGAAGAUCGGAAGAAUCUCUUGAAUGAACUCCCUCAACUCAUAUCCAGUUCUGGAGGCCGGAAGUCUGACAUCAGUGUCACAGAGCCCAAGUCCAAGUGUCAGCAGGACUGCACUUCCUCUGGAGCUCUAGAGGAGAAUCAGCUCCUCGUCUCUUCCAGCUUCUGGUGGCUGUCAGCACUCCUUAGCCUGUGACUGCAUCACUUCAAUCUUUAAGGCUAGCUUCUUCAAAUGUCUCUCAGUCCUGUCUUCACAUUGCCUUCUCUUCUGGGUGUCUCCGUGUCAGAUCUCCCUUUACCUCUCUCUUAUAAGGACACCUGUGAUUAUGUUUAGGGCAUACCUGGAUAAUACAGAAUAAUCUCAGCGUCUCUAAAGAUCCUACGUUAAUUCCAUCUGCAAAACUUUUUUCCAAAUAAAGUAAGAUUUACAGGUUCCAGAGAUUAGGACUGUCUUGCGGGGACAUUAUUCAGCCUGCUAUAUCUUCCUUGUUCUUCCCCUUCAACUCUGGUUCUGCUUUCCAGGCUGGAUUAUGAGUCUCUUAUCUGAAUAUUGAUUUAAAACCUUGUAUUUAACUUUAUCAUGGUACAUAGAAUGAGGAUGAUGAUGUUGAUGUUGAUGAUAGCUAAGAUACAUCAAUUGCUUACAGUAUACUGGGCACUGCUCUAAAAAUUGCACAGGUAUAUCAGUUAACUCAUAUAACAAUUUUAAGAUGUGGCUGUAAUAUUCAUCCCAAUUUUCAGAUCUUAGAACUAAGGUACCACAACUAGUAAGUGGACUUGCUGAGAUUUGAACCCAGGCAGACUGAUACAGGGCCCCUCUAGUGCUGCACCAUGGGUAUUGAUCCACCUGCUGUCUCCCCAGGAAGGUCCCGGAAGCUGGUCAGUAUCCCCAGCUUUAGCACACAGCUGACACUCAACGAUGUUUGGGAAAUAAAUUCACGGACAGAUUCUAAAAUGCCUCUGCCUUUAAUCAGAUAUGGGGCCUCAAACACAUGUGCAAACCUUUCUGGACCUCAUCUAUUUAACUAGGAUGUCAGACUUUGGAUGAUUGUUGUGAUCCCUAAUGUUUUAUGAACAGGUCACCUCAGAAGUCCAUUUAAGGUCUAAACUCUGCCUACUCGAUUAUGGUGACUGAUUCACUGUGCCCAUAUUGUUGAGAAUAGUGAGCACACAAUCCAGGGCACCAUUAAUGAUUUAUCACACUGGGGCAAUUAACUUUUGAAGUAGAAGUCAUUACAGAAGGCCCAUGUCCCAAAAGCUUUGGAAGAAUGCCAAAAGUAUUGAUGACGUGUUUGCUCAAGACGGGCAAGUCACUUUUACUGCUGGAGGGAAAGAUUUUAGGCUUUUUGGAUUCUCUUGAAGGACAGCAUAUUAUUCAUUUAUUGCCUGUCAUUCCUGCAGCCUAAUGACACAGAAUCAUUCCAACUAGGUGACCUACCCAUAUAAUAAGUGAAUACUAAUAUCUCAAUGGUUGGGUUUGAGGACCAAGGUCACAUACUUGUAUAUCACUCUGCCAGUAGGUUAAUGAAAUGUGAAUCAAAUAAAUUUAGAAAUUAACCUCAGAAGUAAAAGUUGCAUCCAUGCAAACACAUUCUGUGCCUUCUACACAAGUCAUUUCAUAAAGCAUUUCUCAAAUACUGGGAUGUGAACCUUCUAGAAACUCAUGAAUAGUAAUUGAUAAUAAAGGGAAAUGUUGAAAAACUUAUCAAUGGCAUUGUCUGUUGUUGACUUAGUCUCUGAGAGCCCUAAGAAACCCCCUUCAGUCAGGAUAAUAAUCAUGGAUGCAUGAGCCAAGUCAAAGACCUUAGGCUAAACUCAGAACGGAGUUGCAGGUGAGUAACUUGCAUUAUCAUUAAUGUGUAUUAUGGUUAUAUCCUCAGUGACAUGUGGCUAGGAGAAGUGUUCUUUUAGUGGCAAAACUGUCUUAUGAAGUUGCUGUCAUUUUGGCUUGGGUUCCUGUAAGAGGUGGUGACCGCACACUGCUCAGAAGCUGCUUACUGUCGUGGAAACAGCACAGGCUGUGGAACCAGACAACUCUGUCAAAUGCCACACUCUGCCG